AUGACGAAGAGCUCUGUUCCUCUUUCACUUUGGUGCUCACCCACUUUGUUUAGGUCACAGUCAUGCAGUAUUCUGUGAUGUGGAGAAUUUUACUGUCAAGUGAGAGACAAAUGCUGAAUCUUUGCCUUAUUCUAACCAGGCCUUUUGCCAGCAAGGUCUCAAAGCCAAGAAAAUGUUGGAAAAAUAAGCUCUCAUCUCAAGUAUACUACUGUGAAAGGAAACAUUCGCUAGCCAGGAGUACAGCGUUUUUAAGCUCUUGGUCCUCCUCAAAGAAGUAUGAAUGGAAUAUCUUCACUGUUACCUGCCAAAGUCUUUUGGUGAUAGUGAGGCAGCCUGUGAUAGUUGUAAGCUUAAGUCCCUACCAAUUAAUGAAGCAGAAUGGUGUUAUAUGCCUGCAGAGACUUACGGUGGAACAGAGCCAGACAUUCUCUGCCAAACAACAAAACACUAGGGAAAGGCUGUUGUGCAUUAUCUCCAAAUUCAAGCUGACAGAUGCUGCUGUUACAUUACUUAUCUGAACACUCUGUAGUGCCUGCACUCAAAAAUGCUGCAUGAGUGUAGGUGAGGCACCCACUCCUGGGAAAGAACUGGAGCCAACCUGGCUGAGAAAUAAGCAUCUUAAUCCUGCCACUUUGGGGAAGCAAGUGCUAGGCCCCCAGGCACAAGGAAUCCCCUGGCAACAGUAUGGAAGUGCAGUGCAAGCUCAGCUGCUAUUAUCUGUGAGCAAUGAUAGCAAGUCUAUCUUCCUGGCUCAUGGAUACCUUGGAGUUGGCAAAGCUUUCACAUUCUCUCCAAAUGCAUACAUAAACAAAUGAAGAAGAAUCAGGAUGCACCACUGAAGGAGCUGUGGAAGGGAAGCGUGGAAGGAGGUAUGGAAGCAAGGUGUGAAGUCUGAAGGUUCUACUUACUGCCACAGAGCUUUUGCAUUUCAGUAGAUAUAGUGUGAAGUUGCUGGAAUGGACUCUCAGUACAUGUUGACACCAACUUGCUAAGCUGCAAAUGGAGGCCAUGCAGAGCCUUCCUCUCCGCUGCAUUUAACCCAUUUCCUGUCAGCUUUACUUGGGGAAAAGCUCAACAUGCCUGAGAAGUCUGGGGCGAGCGGCAAGGAAAUAAAGAAGUUACUAGUCUUCUGAUCUUUCCACAGGGAGGGAGAGUCACUGCUCUGCAAUGGCACUGGAACAGGUUACCCAGAGAGGUGGUGGAUGCCCCAUCCAUGGAGAGACUCAAGAUUUGGAUGGACAGGGCUUUGUGCACCUGAUCUAGCUGUAGAUAUCCCUGUUCAAUUCAAGGGAGUUGGACUGGAUGACAUUUAAGUCUCACCUCCAACUUAAACGAUUCUAUGGUUCUAUAACAGCAAAGAGUCAGGGAAAGGAUGAACCCUGUAGUCAGUGUAGGGGAUUUUCGUGGAGUCAUUGCAGAGAAGAUAUAUAAGUGGUAAUAGAGAUAUAAGAGCUAAUCAGUGCAAAAUGGGAGCUGGUAAAUAAUGUUCUCACCUGGAAAUGUUUCAUCCUCUGAUGAUCCAGAUUAAGAAAGAGGUUUGAGAAGGAAUCUGUAAAUCUCUAUGCUUUAGAGAAAGCCAUGCAUUACUUUGUAGUCAACAGACAGACCUAGAACUGUGUCUCCACAGGGGGCAGGGAAGACGUGUGGGUUUUCUGGCAGAAUUUAGUUGUCAAAAGUAAUAUAAACAGAAUGCUUCAUCUCUGAUCAGUACUUCCACUAUGUCCAUAGUCAGCCUUGCCUCUCCAGAGCAGGAAUCAUUUACCAGCACCUCACUGGCAUCCAUUAGCCUUGUUGAGCAGCGACUGACUAUACUGUCAUGUUCUUCGACAUCACUGUGUGUAUUUAUGCUCUUUCUUGCACCUUUUCAUUUUAGACAUUAAAUUUUGGUUCUGCCUUUGGGUAAGACCACACCAGGGAAUUCCAAGGCAAGAGCUACAGGGUUUAAGAAGUUUUUUACAGGUAUCCAAAUGCAAGUGUGUUUUAGCACCAUGACUUACUUUCUCACAGCAGUGCUGUCUCUUGUCCCUUUUGGUCACUGACCGGACAAUAGUCUUGUGGCAUGGAAUAUAUGCUGGGAGGAAGGCCCCAACUAGUAGGGCAGUAUUCAUUCCCUGACAUCAGCUAGUGCCAUAUCUGAGACCUUGGGAUAUUGCUUCUUUAUAAUGUGUGUCCAAUUGUUUGCUGUAAAUCUGUAGCCCUGCUGGUUUACAUGGGGAAUCAGAUCUUAAAUGGAGACUUAUGGUCAUUUAAUUGAGAGUGACAGGAGGGGCAGCUGAGGGUCAGGGAAAUGGUCUGCACCAGAGGGGGAUGGGCAUGAAAUAGGCUGCCCAGGGCAGUGGGCACAGCCCUGAGUGCCGGAGUUCAGGGAGCAUCUGGACACCAUUCUCAGACACAAGGUUUGGCUUUUGAGUAUUGCUAUGUGGAACCAGGGGUUGGACUCCAUGAUCCGUGUGGACUCUUCCAACUCAGGAUAUUCUAUGAUUCUAUGAGUAAAAUGCAGAGAAAAUACUAAAUAGUUCAGAGAACUUUUUGACUUUAAUAAUAUCUGAUUGUGAGAUCUUUGACGUACUGUUCCUGCUGAGGGCUGGUUGAACACCCAUGUGACAUCUGAAGGGUGCCUUGAUCAGGCAGGAAUGUCUUGUCCCAGCAUUUGAGAAAGGAAGUGAGGGCAAAAGAGACUUGUGGAGUACAAAACACUUGCAGACUCUGAGAAACAAGAAGGAACACAAAGUUAAAAGAUGACUACUCUGUACUCUAGUUUUGAAGAAGCUUAGGUCAGUUCAUGUGGGGAAAAAGAAAUAAAUAAAUAAUCAGCAGAUCAGUUUUACCCUCCCUGAACAUUUAAUUGUAGUGAAGUGGUCAUUUCUCUUCUGCUUGCUAAGCUGCUUAGAAAGCACAGUUAGCUUUUUAAGGAGGCACGCCAUGUGCUCUACUUAUGUAAGUAUGCAGUGGAAUUUACAUUAGGUAAAUUCAUUUCCACCUGAACACCAAACCAACCUAGGUAUCUUACUGUCACUUUGGCUGCUUUAAUUUUUUGUUGGUGUCAUAACUUUUUAUUAAGUCACACCUUUUUCAUUUGUUUCACCUCAUUUCCAAGAGUCAGUCUGCCAUUCAUUCCUUAGGUAAUGUUGAGAUGUGGGUUGCAGGUGUCCUCAGAGAAGGCUGCAGAUGUAAAUAACACACAUAAUUUUGCAGUACUUUUCACUGGGAGGUCUCAAAAAGGCAUCAAUAUCAUUAUCCUCAUUAUCCUUACUUUACCCUCGAGGGAAAAUGAGGAGCUCUAUAGCUCUGACUAUUUCUUGGGUAAGUGAAUGGGAAAAUAAUAACCAGACAGUGUUCUCCCUUGUUAUUUGCAUGAGGUUGGCUCUCCACAGCCUGCUCUUGUGCACGAUUGUAGUGUUCCUGUGGUUGUGAGCUAUUCCUCACAACCUCAGUGAAUGAGAGAACUUGUAUCCCCUGCCUAGGAAAUUUCCAUUAAAAUGUUCUGUUCUCAUUUCUCUUCCCUUGAAUGUAGAGCAGUGCUGUGCUGAGCUGACCUAAAAAAAAAAAAUCAUGAGCAAUCACCAUCUGCCAGUCCAUGAUUUUAACUGAGUAGUGGACGUUUUAUUUUCCUUCUCUUUGUCAGUCUGUUAAGCUUGUCUGGCUCAUCUUCUCACUAAAAAUGGCUGCAGUACCAUAGAGGAUGAAGAAUCUGUCUUACAGGGAAAAACAAGAGAUCAUUAAGAGCUUUCUGACAAUAUUCUGUAAUAUUAUAUGAAAAAUCUCCACACUCUUUGUGUCUCAUCCUCAUUUAGUACUGUAAAAUCUAGUUGUUCAUUCAGUCAUCUAUAUAAUGGCUCUCAGUCUGUAACCUGACUGUCCACAAACAGUUAGUAAUAGACAUGUUAGAAUGUCUUUACUUACGACUUAGGAAAAAAAUAAAAGUAGCUGAUUCUCUGCAUUUCAUCACUGAGAUAUUUUUCAGAGAGAUAAUCUCCAUUAAUCUAUUCAUUUAUAAAUACAUUCACCUGAAAUGAUCUCCACACACACACACACACACACACACACACACAUACACACACACACACACAAAAAAAGGGGUGUUCUUUGUGGCUGAGGAGUGAAUAUCUGAUGAGCGUCUGUUCAGCUGCUGAUAAGAUAGAGAAACUUGGAAAGGUGUCUCAUUUUCAACAGUUAAAAACCCAGAUGCUAGGUAUUGGGUCCUUCCAUGCAGAAAAUUCACAGAUAAUCUGUCUAAGAAAUCAGAUUAAUAAAGAGUCCCAUAGCAGUCUUUUGUGAGCUUCAGACAUCUUGUUUGAUGUACUGUGACUGCACAUAUACUGUGGUUAUUUUCAGUGCUGGUCAAGUGGAAAUUAAAAUAAACACAACGUUUUCUACCUCAGUUCCAUAUCAGGACAUAUUCUUCCUUCCAAUGCAACCUGGCCUUUGCUUUGUUUUGACUCAUACUGGAAUCGCUAGUUGAAAAGGUUGAAAGAUUUUGUUCCAUUUCAUGUAAAUUUAAAAAUAAUUUUUGACUAAAAAUGAAAUAAACUGAAAUACAUUUUUCAUCACCCAAAAAAUCUAGAAAAAAAAUUGCAAUCCCACAGACCAAACAGAAUUCUGUUCCCCUUUAAAUUCUGAAGGCUCAAGAAAGCAUGGAUAUUUGACAUUUUAUACUCCAGAUAUUUGUAUGUCUUAGUUAUGGUUUCACCACGUAUCUCAAACCAUCAGUAAAAUCGCUAAAGACGGGGUGUAGCAGAGCUAUCUUGAACAAGUAUUGCACUCAAUGCAAUUGUAGCACUUUUUCACCCAAAGAGAGGAGGAAGUGUUUGGAGGGAGAGUAUUAAAAGUCUUGGUUGAGAAUUUUUAACUGGCUUGCUUUAACUCAUUGUAAUAGCCACAAACCUCCUGGGAUGCCAGUAGGUAAAACACACUGGUAUUGUCCAGUAACCUUCAUUCAAGUCCCAGUUUCGAAGAGAUCAUCAUGAGGCCUAGAUUGGCUGUGGUACUUCAUGAAAUGAAGCUGUACAAUGGACUUAAGAUGACCUAUGGUGGGGAUUACUGCACUCAGCUUUUCCUUUAGUAGUUGAGUAUCUUCCCGAAGCAUGUGGUCUGUGUCUCUAUUGUUGUGAAUGUUGGGAGUUUGUAAGAAGGCUGAUCAUUGCAUCCCAAAAUGCAAUGAUACCUAAUGCAGGGGUCAUGCAUGACACCUUCAUAACUGAAGUAUUUUUUUUUUAAUUAUAAGAACUCAUGAUGUGCCUGCUGAUUUCUUUGUCUCGUUCCACUCAAGAAAGUUUUCCCUGACAAAGUCUACUUUUAAAGCGGGAAAGAGUGGACUGAUCUUUUUGUAUUUUUAAUAAUAAAGUAGAAGCUGGUUCCAGAAAUAAUUCACCACUAUUACAGAAUGAAGCCUGUCAGAAUCACCUGCUUUUCUUCUUUGGCAUCCAAAUCCUUUCCCAUAACACACUGGUGUGAUAUGGUUAUUCUGACUCCGUUGAGUUCACUGCUUCAUAGGGGAGUCAUUGGAAAGUACCUUCUUCCCUUGCUAUUUUCUUCUAACACAGCUCAUGAAUUGAGCUUAGAGCAAAUGAAAAACCUGUCCCUGAGCACACAGGUGGCAGUGACAUUGGUGUGUACUCAUUAUAGCAGUGCCAGGCUCAAAGUCUGGGUAGGUAUUACGGGAUGUAAAUAAUAUAGGUUGGUGCUCUGUAAAACAGCCUUGUGGCUGCUUUUCCUGAUGAAAAAUAAAAUAAGAUAAAAUAAAAUAAAAUAAAAUAAAAUAAAAUAAAAUAAAAAUAAGAAUAUGUGCAGUGGUUUCAAAGGAGAGUUUUCCCAGGGGAAAGAGUAUCAAUAUUUCUUACAUGAGAUGUUUAUUUCACUUUCUUUUUCCACGAUGAUGCAAUGCUUUUAUGCUCAACAUCUCUACUUCUGACUCAUCUCUGAGGAAGUAAAAUGAGGACCAGCUGUGUUCAGUUUGUCACUCUGUGAGUUUUAUGUGUAUCAUAUGUUCUGGAUCCAGUAAUAAACCUGAUAUCAUUGCAAAUCAGCUUUUUACUCUUUUGCUUUUAAGAUUUACAUAUGUUUGCACAUUGUUAGAUGCCUGUAGUUUUUUCCAAGGAAUGGUGUUCUGUUCUGUUCCUCCUAAAGGAAACUAAUUUCUAAUAGCAAAACUUAUCUAAAAUUUAGGGUAAUCAUCUCUAUAUGCCAGCUCUUAUUGGUAUUAAAAUAAUCAUAGAAUGUCCAUGUUUCUCAACGGAUAUGUUUCCAUUCUACCUGAAACCUGAAACAGCAUUACUUUCAUUUCCCAGUGUAGGAAUUCUAUAGGAAAGCAUUGCAAAAAUGUAUGAAAUCUUUUUUUUUUUUUUUAUUGUCUGUGAUUCCAUUUUAAAAGAACAUCACACUAUUUACCUACAUCAUGCAGGAAAAAGUAGCAGGCAAAUAACAAAUAAAAUUUACAUUCACAAAGUUUCUACUUUAAAUAAUCUUCUGGCUGCUUGGAGAGUACUGCAUGCAUCUUGAAGAAUGCUGGGAAGCAUUUCUACUAGAAAAUGCACUGUUAGACUGAGUUUUGCUCUGUGCAUGUGUGUGAGCAACGGUGGAGAACAGAGAGAGAAAACAAGCAAUAUUUAAUGUCAGUAUUGAAACAUUUUACUAACUCAGCACAUGAAGAAACAGUAUCUUGAUAACAUAUUCAGAUUGAAUACAGACAAGUUUCAGAUACAUAAGACAUUACUUUGAGGUCACAACAGCUGAUUUCUAACAACGCUUAUUCUAGCACAAUAAGCUUGGCAAAAGAUGUACUAAGCAGCAUUGGUAUGGUGUUUCUUGACGAAGGAAAGGGGCUAGGAGGGACAUAAGCCAACAUAUGGUACUAGAAACAUAGACUGAGGAACUCCAGAGUGAUCUCGCACAUGAUUUGUACCUCAUUUUAUUUAUUUUAAACACAAGUAUCAUUCAUAAUUAAUAUUGCAGUCUGAUUUCAUAUGGCUUUCUCUAAAGAUAGGUAUGAGUUUGCAAAGGUCAGUGGCAAACUCAUUUGUCCUCCAGAAGGUGGAGGCCCUUUGAAUUUUGUUGACAGCCAGAAAGGUCUUGGAGCUGCAAAGGAAAAUGGCUGCAGUGUCUAGCCACCAACCUUUCUGUGUAAAUCAAAACUAAUCCACACCUGCCACCUGAAACCAAUAACCAUAAACAAACACACAAAUAAACAAAUAAAUAAAUAAAUGGGGGGGGGGGGGGAGGGAGGGGUGAAAGGAAAGAAAAGAAAAAAAAGACCUCAUUUACCUGAGAUUGAACAGACUAGCAACACAAAUGAAACAAUGGCAUGGAAUGCAAAGAGAAAAUCAGAAUCCAAACAAUGAACCAUACUUAUCUUUGGUCUUGUUCAAGUGCUUCAAUGCCUACUUGUGUGCUGAAGGGGACAGUGUCUGAGACCGUGCUUCUCACACCUAUACAUCAGCCAAAGGUGUUGUGCACCAUGUUGGUAGUGCAGGGUGGGAAGGGGAAAGAAUGGUCACAAGGGAUCGGGGAGUGCCUGCUUUCGAGUCUGUUCAGAGUGGCUUAGGCACUUUGGAGAUGAAGGAAUGACUUAGGGAGAGGCCCAGAACUCAUGCAAGGUGCAAAAGGUUAUCUGAGACAAAACCAAGAAAAAUCUGCCCAGUACCUGUGAUAGGUCUUCUGUCAUGUUUCUUUAUUGAAAGAAAUUGAAAAUUAAAAGGAAAAUUCAUAUCUGUCAGCUCACAACUGGCUGAACUCCACUGUCCAUGGAGUAAGGUCUACCGUGGGCUGGGAGAGCUGAGGUACAGAAGUGAUGACAUGGCUGGGCUGGAAAGCUCCCACAGUGAAAAAUGCACAGCAAGUAUUAUUCAAUAAACUACUUCCCCUUUUGCUCCUGCUCUGUGAGCCUAGCUUGUAAUAAACUCCACACAGUGUUCCCACAGCAUUUUUCAGAGUUUGGAUCUAGAUGUACAUACCAUUCAGUGGCUCUGCUCACAAAACAAAGUAAUUUUUUUAAUACUUUGAGGAUGGGGACAGUACUACCUGCUUAUGACAUUAGAGCGUAGGCCACACAAGAUCCUGACUUAGACCAGUCAAUGGUACAGCUGUUGAGGCACAAUUAGGAAAAAUUAUACCAAAUAUCCUUCUGUUCUCUCUCCUAAUACUCUGUUGUUUCCUCUUCCACACACAAGUGUACCCAUCAAGGUGCCAGGGAGACUGAAAAACAACAAACAAUUGGCAAUAUUGUCCAACAGAGGGGACAGCAUGCAGCAAACCUUGCUUCUGUCCCAUGGACAGUAUUUGACUGGAUGAGGAAAUGAGUCUGUGAUGGGGGCUAGGGAUAGGUCAACAAGCAAACCUUAGAGAAAUCCAAAGAAAAGCAGUUUGAGUUCAUCCUCUUGUUUGUUUGUAGACUCCUCCAAGACAAGACCAGGGGAGAAUAUAAAUGAAUGAAUAUGUCUCCUUUAGCACGGGAACUUUUGUGCUGGUUCGACUAAACGCAUAGACCAACCACUCAUAUCAGUCAGAGUGUUUCAGAAGAUAUGAUGCUAGUGUGUCAGUAGAUUUCACUGUCAAUGAAUGGCUGGAGCAAAGAACCAAGCUCUCUACCUUUUACCUUUCAGGGGUGUUGGAUCUAAUUCUCUCUCAGAGCAUCAGAAAAAGCGGCUGCCUUUGUGACAGGAGAGUUUUCAGUCCUUUGAGAUGUACUUAGAUAAGCUUUACUUAAUUUACUUAAACAAGCUUUACUACUUCAGUAGUUGCUGAAUUUGCAUGGAGUGAGUAGGACACUCUCCCUAGAAAAUGGUAUGUUGCUCAGCACUACCCAAGCAUUGAUACACAGUUAAAGAGUGUUCUGGGUCAUUGAAGUCUUAGUGGGACACAAUCAUCUCACUCUAAAUGAAAGGGCAGAAAAGCACUGAUGCUAUCUGAAAGAGUAAAACCUACCUUCUUCUUCCCUUGCAAAACUCACAGCAGUUUGCACUAGAAUGAACGUGUCUUGUUUGUAGAUCCAACCCAAAACAAGUUGCCUUUUUAUCAGCUGGUUUUGACUUGUAGAUCAGUUAAACAUCCUCAUCUUCCACCCUAGAUUUAGUAGAAACUUGCCACUGAAGUUAGGUGGGAAGACUAACUUCAAGGUGUAUCAGCUGGACUGUUGGUAUAUCAAGGACUGCUUAUAUACCUGAAUAAUAAUUGGGUAAGUAGGAAAAAAUGAAUAUAUUUAUUUUCUUUCACAAUAUUCUUUUCCUACCGUAUGAGAUGCUGCUAAAAAGCACAGAAUUCACAUUAGUUUAGGCAGUGAGACUUAACUAUGAUGCUUAUACUUACUUGAAAGGAUGACAAAUAGUUUUUUAAAUUCUGUAUCCAGAAAAGUACAGGAAUAUUUGCCUAAGGUCAGUUAUACUGAACAAGUGAAUCAAAAUAAGUUCCAUUAGAGUAAAAUGCUUAAUUUUAUGUACCUAAUUAAAUAUCUCAGAUUGUUUUCCUUUCUGUUGUUGUUGCUACUGUUUCCAUGAUAGGGACAAACAGUACUACUUCUGUGAGGCAAAUCCUGAUUAUGUGGAGAUGGUAUCUUUCCACUGUAUGUGAUGCAUUCUGGUCCUCCACCUUUCUUAAUCAGUAGAUUUCUACCACUUAAUAUGGGCUUUGAAAAACUGAUGGGGAGGCCAAGAUUCACCCUUAAAGGAAAGGAAAUUACCUUUUCUAAAAAGAAAUACCAUGUUAUUGAAUUAAGUGAACCUGUUUAAGUGUUAGAAAAACCUGGGAUACUAGUGGAACAGGAGUUGAACUCGAUGAUCCUUAUGGGUCCCUUCCAACAUGGGAUAUUCUAUGAUUCCAUGAUUCUGUGAUUAUCCUACAAGAUUGUGAGACUGAGGUGGUGUGGUGCUCUUACAGAAGCUACUACAGUGAUGUUGCCAAAUACAAAAAUUUUAUGAUCAGCUUUUCAGAUGGCAGUCCAGAAAACUUAGCAAGGGAUUGUGUUCAAAAUAAAUCUGUUUAGAGUGUGUGUACUAGCAAGUCAACAUCUCCAGAAGAAUCUGGCUUUUCUUAUUUAGUUACUCAAUGCUUACUGUGCUGUACUGGAAAAAAAACUGUACCUAUGUCUGGCUAAGGUAUUAAAGAUGAUGUUGAGAGAUUUUUUCAUACUUUAAUAGAAUCAACAGCUACUACAUACUGCAAUAAUAUUAAUUAACUCCUGCAGAUGACUGGGAAAUAAUUGUGCAAUCCAUCCUUACUACAUCCUUUUACAGUGGGUGUAGACUAAAAGCU